rnacentral:rRNA from 1 species
AUUGAACGCUGGCGGCAGGCCUAACACAUGCAAGUCGAGCGGAUGAGGGAAGCUUGCUUCCCGAUUUAGCGGCGGACGGGUGAGUAAUGCCUAGGAAUCUGCCUAUUAGUGGGGGAUAACGUUCCGAAAGGAACGCUAAUACCGCAUACGUCCUACGGGAGAAAGUGGGGGAUCUUCGGACCUCACGCUAAUAGAUGAGCCUAGGUCGGAUUAGCUAGUUGGUGAGGUAACGGCUCACCAAGGCGACGAUCCGGAGCUGGUCUGAGAGGAUGAUCAGCCACAAUGGAACUGAGACACGGGCCAGACUCCUACGGGGGGCAGCAGUGGGGAAUAUUGGACAAUGGGCGAAAGCCUGAUCCAGCCAUGCCGCGUGUGUGAAGAAGGUCUUCGGAUUGUAAAGCACUUUAAGUUGGGAGGAAGAGUUGUAAGCUAAUAUCUUGCAGCUUUGACGUUACCAACAGAAUAAGCACCGGCUAACUCUGUGCCAGCAGCCGCAGUAACAC